GGCGGGGGGUACUCUUCGUCCCAUAUCUUGCUUCAAAUGACUUUAUGAGUUCAAGGUCCAGUCUUGAUCCUGUCCUGGCUAUUGGGACUCUACGAGACCUUCACGCAGGUGCAACUCCAAUGCACAUUAUAUUGGUGUUUGAUUAUAAAGGAAAAUUAAUUAUUUUCAUUGAUUCAGUGUUAUUGUAUUCAAAUAAUUUAUUUUAAUUAAUAGAAAAUUAAUUAGCCCUGUCUAAAUUUGUUGUAAACCUGUAGUUGGAAAUAAGAAUAAAAGCGUAUUAAUAUUUUCCAAGUUAAAGUUCCUGUACCAUAUAUUUCACAGCAUUUCAAAGAAGGACAGCCAACUGUUACAUGCUCUGACCCAGUACCGACUGAUGGUAGUGACAUCUAUAAAGCUGAGAGGCCUCCAUUUAAACAAAAGCUUAACCAUGAAAACAGUGGUCAGUCAUCCAAAAUAAAACUAUAGAGGCAGACAAAAAGUGCAGAGGCAGGAACAGAUGCACCUAAUGAAAAUCUAACUUCAGAAGUUAAACCUGGCAUUCACAGUCUUGUAGUCGAGACCAGUUAGUCCGAGAUCAAGACCGAGAACAGAAGUUCUGAGAGCACCACCUUCAAGAGGGAUCAAGACCAAGAUCGUCUGAGACUGAGAGUGCCAAGUACACUAAGUUACCAGCCAGAAAUCACUCACAGCAACAGUUACAUUGUGCAUAUUUGUGCUUCUUUGCUGGGAAUUCAGCACAAUCUGGGCUUGAACUAGUAUCAGUGGCAUCAUUAAUUCAUAACUUAGAGGGGAAAAUGCAGCACUCAAGAAGAAUCUUGCUGCCAAGGUUUUGGAGCUGCAUGAUGCAAAGAAAAAAUCCAACAGGACACCGUCAAAGCCAUCAGACAAGGUUAUCAACUGGAAAAACUUCAGUGUCAAGACUGUUCUAAAAUCACAAGUUUUUUUAAAUAUCACACAGGGUUCCAAGCCAACACUUUCAAUUUGCUUUUUGAUUUCUUAAUCCUUGAUGCAAAAAAACAACCAACUUGAGUAUAAGAAAAGAAAAUCGACAUGCAUGAAGUUGUCUUUGAACGACCAGCUGUUCUUAGUUUUGUGCUGAUUGCAAAAUGGGUUUCAUUGGAAGGAUCUUGCGUUACAACAAGUAUUUUCACGGUUUAUUUCUGACAAAGAAAUAUGCCAGAAAAGUCACAUUUGCAAGCUCCUUCAAGACCUGAUAAGAGAUGAAAAAGUCUACCUUGAUGAUGAAAUUAUGGUGGAUAAAGGCUUUCAAAUAGAUGAGGUUAAAAAAUUGGUUUGAAAGGUGAACAUCCCUCCACUGGCUUCAUCGUCUUCACAGAUGAAACCAGCUGAUUUGAUGCUCACUAGGAAGAUUGCCUGUCACUUGGUACAUAUAGAGAAAGCAGUUGAAGGAAUGAAGAGUUAAUAGUCACCUGAACAAUUCCAGCCAGCCUGUUUGGAAGUGUUAAAGAAAUAUGUUUGAUAUGCUGCUGUUUGAAAGGAUUUCAGGAUGUUUUGUUGAAGGAGAAGUAGUCAAACCCACAUCCUCAUCCAUCAUGUCCAUCUGUAUUGUAGCUAUAAGUUUUUUAAUCACUGGCUAAUGUAAUCCACUUUUUUAACUCAGUAUUAAUACCUGAUAAUAUAGGCUUGAUCCUCUCUGAACUUGUCCAAGGGGUGUUUGAGUCACUGAAACAUCCUCCUGGAGAAGAUACUUCAGUGGGGUUUUUGUUAAGGCUUUUAACUGCCUUAUUUCCCUUGAAGUAGGCAGCAACACUCUGUAAAAAUAUGAGGAAAAAUUUACAACUCUGUUUAGUCAGUUAUUUCAAAAUGAACAAAAGAAAAAAAAGGAAAAUUUAUGUUGGACUCUAGCUGAAGAAGGAGGAACAUUUUAAAAAAGCAAAUUUUUGUUACAUUUUAUUAUCUUGGUGGAUCAGGACUGAAUCUGUGAUAAAAAAAAUGUGCACAAGGAUGAAUGGAUUGUCAAGAAAAGUUGUCCAGACAUCACUCUUCAAAGGUAAAAGAAUUCUUGUCCGCAAAAAGUAGAUACAAGGUUUUUCAGUUGUACUCAACUACAUGUACGUGCUUGUUCAGUUUUUGUCAGAUGCAUACAAAUGUACAUUUUGUCUUUCCACAUUCCGCCAACAAAGCAGAUUUGUUAAUAGACAUUUUUAAUUGUACACUACAUGUACCUUUGCUCAGUCACUUUUGUGAAAACAGGCUGUCAUUUCCUGAUUUUCUGGGCUUUGCCAUGAUCAAGCCUGUCAUGGAUUUUGGUUGGAUUUUACAUCCACAAGAUUUGGGCCACUGUUGUGGCAUGCUUGUACAGGACAAAUGCCCUGGCAUCUCCUUCAGAGCAAGUUCCUGGUAAUGUCUCAGGGUGUAUAUCAGGGCAAUUAUAUUGAAGCAAGUACCUGAUAGCCUGUUGAAUAAUCAGUUGGAAUGAAUUUUGGAGGUACGAAGGCUUAACAAAUAAGAAUGGGAGUCAAAGUAGGCCGUCUAUAAAUUUUCCUUGACAUUUUUAUCAGCUAACCAAAGAGCAGGGGGGAUGGCUUUCAUUACUGCAGUUAAUAAAUUGAGUUAAAUUAAAAUAAAAUCGUAAUUGUAUCCAAAAGGAAAAGACCCAGAUUGAUAUACAUUAUAAUUGAAUGUAUUUAUAUAUUUAUCUAAAAGAAAUGCUGAAUAUUAUUCUAAAGAAAAAACAAGAAGAGGAAAUAUAUAUUUUAUUUUCAGAACAGUACUGAUUAGCCUGUCACGUUUCCUUUUUGUACAUGUAUUGUGCUUGUGUAAGGCAUCCUCUUGAACACAAAUCAGGGUUUGCAUGCAUUCUGGAAAACCUGGAAUAUCCUGGAAUUUCAUACCCAUCCUGAAUAGUCCUGGAAAAUGCUUAAUUUUUAAUACAUAUUUUUUUCAUACAAUAUUUAUUUAAUACAUAAUUAAAAAUUUUCAGUCAUUAUAAACUAAUAAAGUUUUUUCCUUAACGUUGAAUGAACUAGGGGAAGUUUAUUUUUUAUGAUUGCCAAAUGUGUGUAGGCCUACCUCGUGGUCCGGUUGUCACUGUCAGAAAACUUGUCACGUCUUUGUCAUUGCGCUGCUUGAUUUCUAUGCAUGUACAUUGUUAUAACUUCACAAUCUUCUAUUGUAUUGUAUUGAUAUAUUGUACAUGUACAUGUAUUGCAUGUCAACCUGAAUUAAGUCCUGGAAAAAAUCAAACUUUUCAACCUAGAUAAUCCUUGAAAAGUCCUGGAAUAUUUUUUUCACAAGGGUGUAUGAACCCUAACAAACGAAUACAGGAAUAACUAAAACUGUACAUGUAUGUCUACACGUGCUUAUCCAACUACAUAGCUGUAUUUCCUCUCUGCUAUGAAACCAUUCCGUUCUAAGCACACAUUCAGGGAAUGCAGUAUACUGCCUUUCUGCAUACUUCUGUAGCAUUUUGCCUGCAUUACCACCUGGCCAUCCUUCAAAACUAAUAAGGAAUUACGUUUGACCGGCUCAGACUUGAGUAAAGAACUGGAAGUGACCGUUUGCCGUUAUUUGUAGUAAAGUAUGUAAAUGAAUUGUUUUGUGUUGUUUAUUGAGAAGUUCUGUGUUAGAGUCGUCUUUAUGAAUAUCAUGCCUUUUACUUUCAACCUACCCCAAACAGUCACUAAAUAUGCAAAUUCCUUUGCAUGUGAUUCUGUUCACUAAAGUUCUGAUCAACGUGAUGUGCGCCCUAUAGUACCAUGAUGCAUAGCGGAACGGCCACCAUGUUUGUCCGUCUUUUCCUCAGUGUGAUUCUAAACAGACUUUUUUGGGCCUCUUUGAGUUUAUCGAGUUUCUGUUUCGCUACCACGUUUCUGUGUUAUUCUAAUCAACCAUAACGUAUUGUAAAAAUAUACAUUUGGUAUUUUGAUAUAUUCUUUAGUUUGAGGUGUGCACUUUCUUGUUUUGUGGUAUUUUCUCUUCUGUUAUAUCUUUCAGACUCGUUGACUCUACGUUACUGUACUACCAAGUG